rnacentral:lncRNA from 1 species
CAGCUGGACUCAGUUUAGAUGAUCCCAAUUUUGUUGGCAACAUCCAAAGCGUCAUAGUCAGGAGCCAGUGGAACAUAUGUCUUCUUCCCUCCAUUGGGCCUGACCAGGGUGUUGACCUUGGCCACGUCAAUGUCAUAGAGGUUCCUCACAGCCUGUUGGAUCUGGUGCUUGUUGGCCUUGACAUCUACAAUGAAGACAAGUGUGUGGUUGUCUUCUAUUUUCUUCACGGCUGACUCAGUGGUCAGCGAGAACUUGAUGAUGGCAUAAUGGUCAAGGUUGUUUCCCCUGGGGGUGCCCUUUCCUGGAUAUUUGGGCUGCCUUUGAAGACACAGUGUCUUGAGCCAUCAAAAGGUAGGUGACAUGCGGAUCUUUUUUUUCCUGUGACCGUGGACACUUUUAGCACCGCUUUCUUGGCCUUCAAAGCCUUUGCUUUGGCUUCAGCUUUGGGAGGGUCAGGGGCUUCCUUCUCUGCCUUCAGUGCCAUCUUUGUGAAAGGGCU